rnacentral:lncRNA from 1 species
ACUCCCUAUUGCCUCAUCCCUACCAGGUCACAGACUGAUACUAGCUGCCUGCCCCUCUGAUGGAAUUGAAGGUUUAACCCUACCCAGUAGGUCCUCCGAUACUCAAGAACUCCUUCCCGGAGCGGAGACACAGAUCAUGGCUAUCAGAUGGGUCCCUUGGCAGCUCAGCUGCAGUGUCACUCUGUCCACCCAGGCUGGAGCGUAAUGGCACGAUCUCAGCUCACUGCAACCUCCAUCUCCAGGGUUCAAGCAAUUCUCCUGCCUCAGCCUCUCGAUGAAACCAACUUCAUAAAGGCUGUGGCAUUUCUUCCAAGACACUACGAUGAAGAUGACAUCAUCAGGAGACUUAGGGAAAGCUACGACUUUUCAAGUAACUAAAGUGGGUGACCCUCACUACUUUGUGGGCUCAAUAGCUGUGUCUUCAUUUAUAAAAAUAAAAUGGUAGAGACUGUA